CGGUAACAACUUUCACAGCAGUGAAUGUCGCGACUGUUAUGUUUGACUGUGUAAUGAACUAUGACCACAAGUAGUAAAUCUAAGGUCACUGCACAUUCGAUUCAUUCUGUUAAACAUUUUAGGACUCCAACAACUACUGAUAUGAUCAUUAACAGAAGUCCUUGCCAUUGUUAAAAACAUAAAUUGGUGUACUUCAGAGCAAUAUUUAACAGUGUGUUGAAAUAACCUCUGGAUGAAGACAAAGUUGAAAGAGAGCUAAUUAUUAUUCCAAAAGUGGCAAAAGCUGACAGUUACAAAAGAAAAUGAUAUUACUGAAGAUACAACAUGAGGUGCUGAUGGAAGUAGAGCUGCGAGGACGGGCUGUGAGUGGUGCUUGGAUAGCUCAGCUGGUAGAACACUUAACUGUGAAAGGCAAAGGUACUGAUUUCGAGUCUUGUUUUGGCAUACGGUUUUAAUCUGCCAGGAAGUUUCAUAUCAGUGCACAGUCCACUGGGGAAUGAAAAUUCCAUUCUGUGAAAUAUCAGAAGCCAAUAGCACAAUGCUGGCAGCCUGCAGGAAGAGCAUUCACCAACAGUACUUUGCCUAUUGCUGUAUAUUUUUGUAUGUGGCUCAUAUGCUAAGGACAAUCGUGAUUUUACCACCAAUGGCAGCUACUUGCUUUUUAAAAUACUUGUAUGCUACCUGUCACACAGUGCUUGUAUAUGGUACGUACAUCUGACUGGAUACAAAGUAUCUGAAAAAAUGUGGAGGUGGGAGGUUGUAAUGUA